rnacentral:misc_RNA from 1 species
GCAAGACCUGCUUGGUAGUGUGUGGGUGUGUGGAGAGAUUCAAUCGCAAAACCGGUUGGUUGUUUUCCGAUCCGAGCUUCUUCCGUUUUCAAUUUGCUGCAAAUAUGUCAAUCCAAAAUCUUCUCAGAACCCUCAAAACUGUCAAAAGGACUCUCCCCCAAAAUCUCUCCCCAAAACCCUAUUAUGAAAUCCCUCACUCCAUCUCUAAAAACCUGAUUGCCC